rnacentral:rRNA from 1 species
UACGUAGGUGGCAAGCGUUGUCCGGAAUUAUUGGCGUAAAGGAGCUCGUGAGGUCGGGUUUGUUGCGUUCGGCUGUCGGAAAUCCCCGAGGCUCAACCUACGGGUCUGCAGUCGAUAACGAGGCAAACUAAGAGGUGUUGCAGGGGAGACUGGAAUUCCUAGGUGUGAGCGGUGGUAAGUGAGCAGUCAGAGGAUACCGGGCGAAGAACACCCAGUGGCGAAAGGCGGCCCGCUGGGCAGUGGACUGACGGCAUGAAGCG